UACGUAGGGUGCAAGCGUUAAUCGGAAUUACUGGGCGUAAAGCGUGCGCAGGCGGUUUUGUAAGUCUGUCGUGAAAUCCCCGGGCUUAACCUGGGAAUGGCGAUGGAGACUGCAAGGCUGGAGUUUGGCAGAGGGGGUAGAAUUCCACGUGUAGCAGGUGAAAUGCGUAGAGAUGUGGAGGAACACCGAUGGCGAAGGCAGCCCCCUGGGUCAAAACUGACGCUCAUGCACGAAAGCGUGGGGAGCAAACAGGA
rnacentral:rRNA from 1 species